GCCAGGCAUGGUGGCACGUGCCUGUAAUCCCAGCUACUCAGGAGGCUGAGGCAGGAGAAUUGCUUGAACCCAGGAGAUGGAGGUUGCAGUGAGCUGAGAUUAUACCACUGCACUCCACCCUGGGCGACAGAGUGAGACCCUGUCUCAA
ensembl:misc_RNA Metazoa_SRP Metazoan signal recognition particle RNA